GCUGGACACCCAUGACAAACUCAUGGAGGAACAUGGAGAACCAGUCGAAGACUUUGAGAUGAUUCCACUAAAUGAUAAGAAUGAGGGGCACACAGUCAAGAUCGAAUCAAAGCUGGAUCAAGUAACUAAGAAACAUCUUGUUUCCUUUUUGUACAAAAAUAUGGAUGUGUUCGCUUGGACCCCAGCUGAUACGCAGGCAUUGAUCCUACGAUCAUGACAUGUUGGUUGAGUGU
rnacentral:lncRNA from 1 species